AAUACUUAAUAGAAUUCAGUUUUUUUUUUUAGUAGGAUACUCCCCACUUCAACUCUCACUCCCAUUCAGUAGGUGGCGGAAAUGCACCUGAAAGUAGGUUGCCACCUGCCAAUUAAACAACAGAAGAAGAGGAAAAAAGAAGACUAUAUAUGGGACUAUUUUGCUCACACCUGCUGGCAGGAAACAGGAAAGGUAAGUGUAACCCGGUUGCCAGGUGAUGGGUCCGGGGUUUUUGUUUUUUCAGUUUUUCCGCUUGUCUCUAAUAAAGUGGCCGGAACGUCUUCGACGUUGCCGGUCACGUGGCCAAAUCUAGGUCAGUCAGGAAGUUAAAUAGCUCACAGCCAGACGUGAUCGGUAAGCGUAAGGAGACACAGGGAAAGGAGUUGCUGCAGGAGCCAACUACCGGUUGUCGGACGUAUAAGAAGGAGCGCGGAGAUAGCUUUAGAUUGACGGAAAAGGCCAGGUUUUCUUCAUUGGAUGGCGAGCUACCCACUAGAACCUAGACUGGAAGCCCAGAAUCCCUGAGUUCCUGAACCAAGUCAGGCAGACUGAAUCAAUUCACUCCACCACUGUUGGGCUGGUAGGAGGCUCCUGUAGCCAUCUUUAAGUCUCUGUUCCUUAGCAACUUCAACAGCGAGCCGCGAUUACCCUGAUCACAUCCUUCACAAUCCCCCCUCUCUCUCCCUCACGAACAUUGAACUCACUCUUUAGGACCCAUUCGCGGGUCCUCGGGUCCGCUGAAACUUGAAGUUGCCAACAAUCAUGUGUUACCCUAUCUAAUGGACAAUGGAUUGACGUAUGAUGAUUUGUAAUUUAUUCUCUGUAAAUUGUCAACUAUUAUUCAGUGUAUGUAUUGUUAAACAAGUGUCAUAAUAUAUUCUAUAUUGGUACCAACCU